GGCUUAUAAACUAUCACGACGCCCAAAAAGUCGUGGCUUGGAUGUAGUGCCAGCUGGCGUGAUUUCCCCUAUGUUAUUAUUGAUUAUUAUCCUUUUUGGAUAAUAAUUAAAAUCACGUGUGGGGUGCCAGAUCUAUGGCUCCAUCCUAAUGUAUCCGGCUGCAGCCAAGUCUAAAAUCUAAUAAAUGGAUUGAACUGCUGCGGUGGAUUAUGCUCGAGUCGUGGCUCAGUGCUAUGAACACGCUUGUUGUUAUAAUCUAUCGUUUGUCAGUGAAUUCCUUUUGAACUAUUGGACUAUUUAGACUUUGGUUUUGUAACCGAAGAGACGGACAUAGAGAAAAUUUAAAAGUUGUUUUAGUAUCUCUAUUGUCUAUCAUAUACAUACAUAUAAAUGUAUAUAUAUGUAUAUUUAAUUUUGACCCUGACCUCGGAUCAGACGUGAUUACCCGCUGAACUUAAGCAUAUCACUAAGCGGAGGAAAAGAAACUAACCAGGAUUCCCCCAGUAACGGCGAGUGAACGGGGAUUAGCCCAGCACCGAAGCCUGUGACUAAUUGGUUACUAGGCAAUGUGGUGUUUAGGUCAUCUCUUGGCAUUAUUGCUCCACCCUAAGUCCAGCAAUGAGUACGGCUUACUGGAAUGGCCCACAGAGGGUGAAAGGCCCGUGGGGGUG
rnacentral:rRNA from 1 species